rnacentral:rRNA from 1 species
CAGGCCUAACACAUGCAAGUCGAACGAAGGCCCGGCUUCGGCCGGAUCCCUUAGUGGCGCACGGGUGAGUAACGCGUGGGGACCUGCCCUGGAGUGGGGAAUAACCGCUGGAAACGGCGGCUAAUACCGCAUACGCCCUCUUCGGAGGGGAAAGGCUUCGGCCGCUCUUGGAUGGCCCCGCGUCCGAUUAGCUUGUUGGUAGGGUAACGGCCUACCAAGGCGACGAUCGGUAGCUGGUCUGAGAGGAUGAUCAGCCACACUGGGACUGAGACACGGCCCAGACUCCUACGGGAGGCAGCAGUGGGGAAUAUUGGACAAUGGGCGAAAGCCUGAUCCAGCAAUGCCGCGUGAGUGAAGAAGGCCCUAGGGUUGUAAAACUCUUUCACCCGUGAAGAUGAUGACGGUAGCGGGAGAAGAAGCCCCGGCUAACUCCGUGCCAGCAGCCGCGGUAAU